rnacentral:rRNA from 1 species
CCUACGGGGAGCAGCAGUAGGGAAUAUUGGUCAAUGGGCGCGAGCCUGAACCAGCCAAGUCGCGUGAGGGAUGACGGUCCUACGGAUUGUAAACCUCUUUUGCCGGGGAGCAAGCGUGCGUUCGUGAACGCGCGUCGAGAGUACCCGGAGAAAAAGCAUCGGCAAACUCCGUGCCAGCAGCCGCGGUAAUACGGAGGAUGCGAGCGUUAUCCGGAUUUAUUGGGUUUAAAGGGUGCGUAGGCGGGAUGCCAUGUCAGCGGUAAAAAUGCGGUGCUCAACGCCGUCGAGCCGUUGAAACUGGCUUUGUUGAGUGGGCGAGAGGUAUGCGGAAUGCGUGGUGUAGCGGUGAAAUGCAGAGAGAGCACGCAGAACACUGAUGGCGAAGGCAGCAAACCGGCGCCCUACUGACGCUGAGGCACGAAAGCGUGGGUAUCGAACAGGAUGAGAUACCCGUGUAGUC